CUUGGCGAUCGGGUGAACUGUGGUUAAGGAACUCGGCAAAUUGCCCCCGUAACUUCGGGAGAAGGGGGACCUCUGUUGGUGAUGGGCUUUACGCCUGGAGCUGGUGGGGGUCGCAGUGGCCAGGGGGAAGCGACUGUUUACUAAAAACACAGGUCCGUGCGAAGUCGUAAGACGAUGUAUACGGACUGACGCCUGCCCGGUGCCAGAACGUUAAGGGGACCGCUUAGCCGACGUGAGUUGGCGAAGGUGAGAACUUAAGCGCCGGUAAACGGCGGUGGUAACUAUAACCAUCCUAAGGUAGCGAAAUUCCUUGUCGGGUAAGUUCCGACCUGCACGAAUGGCGUAACGACUUCCCCGCUGUCUCAACCGCAGACCCGGCGAAAUUGCACUACGAGUAAAGAUGCUCGUUUCGCGCAGCAGGACGGAAAGACCCCGGGACCUUCACUACAGCUUGACAUUGGCGUUUGGAACGUCUUGUGUAGGAUAGGUGGGAGACUAGGAAGCUGUCACGCUAGUGAUGGUGGAGUCAUUGGUGAAAUACCACUCUGGUCGUUUUGAACGUCUAACUCUGGUCCGUGAUCCGGAUCGGGGACAGUGUCUGGUGGGUAGUUUAACUGGGGCGGUUGCCUCCUAAAGAGUAACGGAGGCGCCCAAAGGUUCCCUCAGCCUGGUUGGCAAUCAGGUGUUGAGUGUAAGUGCACAAGGGAGCUUGACUGUGAGACUGACAGGUCGAGCAGGAGCGAAAGCUGGGACUAGUGAUCCGGCAUCGGCGUGUGGAAGCGGUGUCGCUCAACGGCUAAAAGGUACCCCGGGGAUAACAGGCUGAUCUUCCCCAAGAGUCCAUAUCGACGGGAUGGUUUGGCACCUCGAUGUCGGCUCGUCGCAUCCUGGGGCUGGAGUAGGUCCCAAGGGUUGGGCUGUUCGCCCAUUAAAGCGGUACGCGAGCUGGGUUUAGAACGUCGCGAGACAGUUCGGUCCCUAUCCGCUGCGCGCGCAGGAGACUUGAAGGGGGCUGUCCCUAUUACGAGAGGACCGGGACGGACGAACCUCUGGUGUGCCAGUUGUACCGCCAGGUGCACGGCUGGUUGGCUACGUUCGGAAGGGAUAACCGCUGAAAGCAUCUAAGCGGGAAGCUCGCCUUGAGAUGAGGUCUCCCACCACGAGAGUGGGUAAGGCUCCCGGUAGACGACCGGGUUGAUAGGCCGGAGGUGGAAGCACGGUAACGUGUGGAGCUGACCGGUACUAAUAGGCCGAGGACUUGACGAA
rnacentral:rRNA from 1 species